GCUCCAUCAAAUACUACCUGCCGCAUCUCUUCAUUGCAAGAAAGCUACAAAAGGAAGUCACUCCAGAUGGUGCUACUGCUUUUCGUCCAUUAGUGAGGAAGAGUCCAGAGUUUGACAGUACAGAAUGCUGGUGAGUUCCCGAGGGCAAGGUGCUCUUGUGCAUCUCUGGUCUGCCAGUCCUGAAGCCUCAUCCCAGCCACUUACUCUCCCAGACAGCCUUGCCACAGGCACAUGGGCAGGCAAAUAAGGCCAGACGGGAUCUCACAGGAAGUCUGGGGUCUGGUUCCUUCCCAAUAGAAAAGAACCACACGAGAACGCUCUCCACCAUAGGACGCUUUUAACUGUGGCGACCCAUAUGGGGACAGGACAGUAAAUACCCUGAAUUCGGAUUCCCUAUGGUACGAGGGUAUGUCUGUCUUCUGCGCCAGUUUUAGUUGCAAGGUCUGUUAUUUGCAGCUGCAAACAUUCUGACUGAUAUGUACAUUUUUAUCAGAAAAUGUAUCAGAUGUAAGACAUGGAGCCACUUCAAGGUGUAUUGUGAUUUUUUCGUUUCAUGACCACAGGUAGAACUGUCGAGAAGUACGAGGUGAGAGAGGACUGGAAGGGUAGACGUUGCAGUUCUUCUAGGUGUGCUUUGCUUUGCUUUGACAAUACUGUUCCUUACGUGGAUGAUUUGAGUACAUAUGGUUUCAAUCUUACCAUCAAAUGCAAUUUAUGUGCAUAACAAAUGUUAAUAUAAUUUACUGAAUGCAUGAGGAAUUCAAGAGAAAACAGCUUCUCAGUGAACAAUGACAAUAUUGAGGGUGGUGUCCGUUACAUCUCUGUGGAUUUAUCUAUUUCAGAUGUCAGCGCUUCUUUGUGAUUUGGACCUGAAAAGUAGCAAUGAGUCAGAGCAGAAUCAGGUUCCCGUCUCUCCUCAGUCAUCCAGUGGCCAGCAAUUGACUCGUGAAAAUCCAAUCCAUCCAUUGGUUCGUGGACCGCAUCACAGUCGUGUUUGGAUGAACCUCCUCAGGUAGCUGCGUCUAAGACGCAUCUUAAGAUAUCUGCUUAAAAUUGCAAACCACAGAAAAUUGGGCACAAUCAAUGAGUAGGAUCGGCGGGAGUAAAACUCUUACAAAGACAUAAGAAAUUUAAUACAACCCAAAAUCCUGCAUUAGAAGAGGUAGGGAAACGCACAAUAGGCUUUUACCACCUGAAAUUGUCCAUAUCAGUGACAAGGGAAAUUCACUUUACCUGAAUGCCUUAUUUCCUCAUCUAUAGGGAAUAAAUAAGCCACUGCUACUUGUUCCUUUAAUUCU
rnacentral:lncRNA from 1 species